UGGGUAAAAUUUAGUGAAGGAACUUGACAGGUACAAAAUCUUAUGUAAAAAAGUUAUAUCAAUAAUUUU
rnacentral:rRNA from 1 species